rnacentral:rRNA from 1 species
CACGUAGGUGGCAUGGUAAGUCGAAGGUGAAAGCCCUCGGCUCAACCGAGGAAUUGCCUUUGAAACUGCUUUGCUUGAGUCCGGGAGGGGGGAGCGGAAUUCCCAGUGUAGCGGUGAAAUGCGUAGAUACUGGGAGGAACACCGGUGGCGAAGGCGGCUCCCUGGACCGGUACUGACACUGAGGUGCGAAAGCGUGGGUAGCAAACA